CGCGGCCUAUCAGCUUGUUGGUGGGGUAACGGCCUACCAAGGCAACGACGGGUAGCUGGUCUGAGAGGACGAUCAGCCACACUGGCACUGAGAUACGGGCCAGACUCCUACGGGAGGCAGCAGUGAGGAAUAUUGCGCAAUGGGCGAAAGCCUGACGCAGCGACGCCGCGUGGGGGAAGAAGGUUUUCGGAUUGUAAACCCCUUUUAGGAGGAAAGAUGGGGUGGGUUUCCACCCGGACGGUACCUCCAGAAAAAGCCACGGCUAACUUCGUGCCAGCAGCCGCGGUAAUACGAAGGUGGCGAGCGUUGUUCGGAUUUACUGGGCGUAAAGAGCACGUAGGCGGUUUAGUAAGCCCCUUGGGAAAGCUAUGGGCUUAACCCAUAAAGGUCGAGGGGGACUGCUAAGCUAGAGGGCGGGAGAGGAGCGCGGAAUUUCCGGUGUAGCGGUGAAAUGCGUAGAUAUCGGGAAGAAGGCCGGUGGCGAAGGCGGCGCUCUGGAACGUCUCUGACGCUGAGGUGCAAAAGCGUGGGGAGCAAACAGGAUUAGAUACCCUGGUAGUCCACGCCGUAAACGAUGGGCACUAAGUGUCGGCAGGUUACUGCCGGUGCCGCAGUUAACGCAGUAAGUGCCCCGCCUGGGGAGUACGG
rnacentral:rRNA from 1 species